rnacentral:rRNA from 14 species
UCUACGGCCAUACCACCCUGAAUGCGUCAGAUCUCGUCUGAUAUCGGAAGCUAAGCAGGGUCAGGCCUAGUUAGUACUUGAUGGGAGAACAGGUCUUAUCUCAAAAUGAACACCUGAAAAUAAGUAGUUUCUAAAG